rnacentral:misc_RNA from 1 species
GAUGAAGAACGCAGCGAAAUGCGAUAAGUAAUGUGAAUUGCAGAAUUCAGUGAAUCAUCGAAUCUUUGAACGCACAUUGCGCCCCCUGGUAUUCCGGGGGGCAUGCCUGUCCGAGCGUCAUUACAACCCUCAAGCUCAGCUUGGUGAUGGGCCCCGCCGCCCCGGCGGGCCCUAAAGUCAGUGGCGGUGCCGUCCGGCUCCGAGCGUAGUAAUUCUUCUCGCUCUGGAGGUCCGGUCGUGUGCUCGCCAGCAACCCCCAAUUUUUUUCAGGUUGACCUCGGAUCAGGUAGGGAUACCCGCUGAACUUAAGCAUAUCAAUAAGCGGAGGA